AAUUGCAUCCCCUGACUGAAAUCAGCUACGAAUCCCAUCAGAACUCCGAUGUUAAGCGUGCUUGGGCGAGAGUAGUACUAGGUUGAUAAGUGAUUUAUAGUCCAUUUUGCUAAUCUUCCUGAUAAUUCAUGUUUAUGCAAAAU
rnacentral:rRNA from 1 species